rnacentral:rRNA from 1 species
GACGAACGCUGGCGGCGUGCUUAACACAUGCAAGUCGAACGGAAAGGCCCUGAUUUUGUGGGUUGCUCGAGUGGCGAACGGGUGUGUAACACGUGAGUAACCUGCCCUUGACUUUCGGAUAACUUCAGGAAACUGGGGCUCAUACCGGAUAGGAGCUCCUGCUGCAUGGUGGGGGUUGGAAAGUUUCGGCGGUUGGGGAUGGACUCGCGGCUUAUCAGCUUGUUGGUGGGGUAGUGGCUUACCAAGGCUUUGACGGGUAGCCGGCCUGAGAGGGUGACCGGCCACCUUAGGACGGAGAUGCGGACCAGACUCCUACGGGAGGCAGGGGUGGGGAUUCUUGCACAAGGGGCGGAAGCCUAAUGCAGCAACGCCGCGUGCGGGAUGACGGCCUGCGGGUUGUAAACCGCUUUCGCCUGUGACGAAGCGUGAGUGACGGUAAUGGGUAAAGAAGCAACGGCUAACUACGUG